AAUAUUGCACAAUGGGCGCAAGCCUGAUGCAGCGACGCCGCGUGAGGGAUGACGGCCUUCGGGUUGUAAACCUCUUUCAGUAGGGAAGAAGCUUUCGGGUGACGGUACCUGCAGAAGAAGCGCCGGCUAACUACGUGCCAGCAGCCGCGGUAAUACGUAGGGCGCAAGCGUUAUCCGGAAUUAUUGGGCGUAAAGAGCUCGUAGGCGGUUUGUCGCGUCUGCCGUGAAAGUCCGGGGCUCAACUCCGGAUCUGCGGUGGGUACGGGCAGACUAGAGUGAUGUAGGGGAGACUGGAAUUCCUGGUGUAGCGGUGAAAUGCGCAGAUAUCAGGAGGAACACCGGUGGCGAAGGCGGGUCUCUGGGCCGAUACUGACGCUGAGGAGCGAAAGCGUGGGGAGCGAAC
rnacentral:rRNA from 1 species